rnacentral:tRNA from 1 species
GGCUGGAGAUAUAGCCCAGUGGUAGAGCACUUGCCUAGCAUGUAUGAGGCCCUGGGUUCCGUUCCCAGCAAGGCG